rnacentral:rRNA from 1 species
UUAGGGAAUAUUGGGCAAUGGAGGCAACUCUGACCCAGCCAUGCCGCAUGCAGGAAGACGGUCCUCUGGAUUGUAAACUGCUUUUGAAUGGGAAGAAACGCACUUUUGCGAAAGUGUUUGACGGUACUAUUAGAAUAAGCACCGGCUAACUCCGUGCCAGCAGCCGCGGUAAUACGGAGGGUGCAAGCGUUAUCCGGAUUUAUUGGGUUUAAAGGGUGCGUAGGCGGCUUAAUAAGUCUGGGGUUAAAGGCGGCAGCUUAACUGUACGCAUGCCCUGGAAACUGUUGAGCUUGAGUGACCUGGAGGUAGCUGGAAUUCCCUGUGUAGCGGUGAAAUGCAUAGAUACGGGGAGGAAUACCGAUUGCGAAGGCAUGUUACUACGAGUAAACUGACGCUGAUGCACGAAAGCGUGGGGAUCAAACAGGAUUAGAUACCCUUGUAGUCC